rnacentral:lncRNA from 1 species
GCUUGGCCACCGUGGCCUCUGAUGGGUUGUUUGCAGCAUAGUAGUAGAUGUUGGGGAUGUUGCCAAUGAGGCUGUCAGGGAAGCAGGCGUCACUCAUCCCAACCUGCUUGCCAGGCAUGAACUCGAGGGACCCGUGUGUUCCAAAGUGCAGAACAGCAUCGGCCUGGAAGAUCUUCUCGACAAAGGUGUAGUAUGCUGCAAAUCCAUGGUGAGGGCUGGCAGACUUUGAGAAGAGAAGCCGCAUGGGAUCACCUUCGUACCCAAAGGUGGGCUGCACCCCGAUGAAGACAUUGCCGUACUGCUUCCCGUAGACGAGGAGGUUCUCGCCAUCAGAGUUGAGGUGCCCAGGUGGCUUCCCCCAGUUCUCCUCCAGCAAGGAGGCGUAGGAGGUCAGCGACUGGUACUCCCUCACAUUCAUGCGGUAAGCAACAUUCAGGUUGGGGCUGUUGAACUGAGCUUCCUUGUCAUGGAUCACCUCCUCGAUGAGGGCUUCAG